CCUACGGGUGGCAGCAGUGGGGAAUAUUGCACAAUGGGGGAAACCCUGAUGCAGCGACGCCGCGUGAGUGAAGAAGUAAUUCGUGAUGUAAAGCUCUAUCAGCAGGGAAGAAAAUGACGGUACCUGAGUAAGAAGCCCCGGCUAACUACGUGCCAGCAGCCGCGGUAAUCCGUAGGGGGCAAGCGUUAUCCGGAUUUACUGGGUGGAAAGGGAGCGUAGAGGGCAGUGCAAGUCUGGAGUGAAAGGCGGAGGCUCAACCCCCGGACUGCUCUGGAAACUGUACGGCUGGAGUGCAGGAGAGGUAAGUGGAAUUCCUAGUGUAGCGGUGAAAUGCUUAGAUAUUAGGAGGAACACCAGUGGCGAAGGCGGCUUACUGCACUGUAACUGACGUUGAGGCUCGAAAGCGUGGGUAGCAAACAGGAUUAGAUACCCUUGUAGUC
rnacentral:rRNA from 1 species